UACGAACCGAGCGAACGUUGUUCGGAAUCACUGGGCUUAAAGGGCGCGUAGGCGGGUGCUCAAGUCCGGGGUGAAAUCCUCCAGCUCAACUGGAGAACUGCCUCGGAUACUGGGUGCCUCGAGGGUGGUAGGGGUAUGCGGAACUAUCGGUGGAGCGGUGAAAUGCGUUGAUAUCGAUAGGAACUCCGGUGGCGAAGGCGGCAUACUGGACCACAUCUGACGCUGAGGCGCGAAAGCCAGGGGAGCAAACGGG
rnacentral:rRNA from 1 species